GUGGGGAAUAUUGGACAAUGGGCGCAAGCCUGAUCCAGCCAUGCCGCGUGAGUAAUGAAGGCCCUAGGGUUGUAAAGCUCUUUCACCGGAGAAGAUAAUGACGGUAUCCGGAGAAGAAGCCCCGGCUAACUUCGUGCCAGCAGCCGCGGUAAUACGAAGGGGGCUAGCGUUGUUCGGAAUUACUGGGCGUAAAGCGCACGUAGGCGGACAUUUAAGUCAGGGGUGAAAUCCCGGGGCUCAACCCCGGAACUGCCUUUGAUACUGGGUGUCUGGAGUAUGGAAGAGGUAAGUGGAAUUCCGAGUGUAGAGGUGAAAUUCGUAGAUAUUCGGAGGAACACCAGUGGCGAAGGCGGCUUACUGGUCCAUUACUGACGCUGAGGUGCGAAAGCGUGGGGAGCAAACAGGAUUAGAAACCCGAGUAGUCC
rnacentral:rRNA from 1 species